rnacentral:rRNA from 1 species
UGAAUACGAGACGCUAAGGCGUCGAAGUAGUGUAUGUCAUACUUCCAAGAAAAGCUUGCACUGUCAUAAGUAAAAAAUGCCUGUACCAUAACCGACACAGGUGGGUAGGUAGAGUAUACUAAGGGGCGCGAGAUAACUCUCUCUAAGGAACUCGGCAAAAUAACUCCGUAACUUCGGGAGAAGGAGUACCUUAUUCUAUAAGGUUGCAAUAACAAGAUCCAAGCAACUGUUUAUCAAAAACACAGGUCUCCGCUAAGUCGUAAGACGAUGUAUGGGGGCUGACGCCUGCCCAGUGCCAGAAGGUUAAAGAAGUCGGUUAGCAUUAGCGAAGCUGGUAACUGAAGCCCUGGUGAACGGCGGCCGUAACAAUAACGGUCCUAAGGUAGCGAAAUUCCUUGUCGGGUAAGUUCCGACCCGCACGAAAGGCGUAAUGAUUUGGAUACUGUCUCGGAGAGGGGCUCGGUGAAAUAGACUUGUCUGUGAAGAUGCGGACUACCUGCACCAGGACAGAAAGACCCUAUGAAGCUUUACUGUAACUUGAAAUUGAAAUUGGACUUUAUUCGCGCAGUAUAGGUGGGAGGUGUUGAUUAUAAUCUUGCGGGAUUAUUGGAGCCAUCAGUGAGAUACCACUCUUGUAAUGUUAGAUUUCUAACUUUGAAUCAUUAUCUGGUCAAAGGACAGUUUCAGGCGGGCAGUUUGACUGGGGCGGUCGCCUCCCAAACGGUAACGGAGGCGUACAAAGGUUUCCUCUGAACGGGUAGAAAUCGUAUCUAGAGUGUAAAGGCAUAAGGAAGCUUGACUGUGAGACCUACAAGUCGAACAGAGACGAAAGUCGGUCUUAGUGAUCUGACGGUACUGAGUGGAAAGGCCGUCACUCAACGGAUAAAAGUUACUCUAGGAUAACAGGCUGAUCUCCCCCAAGAGUUCACAUCGACGGGGAGGUUUGGCACCUCGAUGUCGGCUCAUCGCAUCCUGGGGCGGUAGUACGUCCCAAGGGUUGGGCUGUUCGCCCAUGAAAGCGGUACGCGAGCUGGGUUCAGAACGUCGUGAGACAGUUCGGUCCAUAUCCGGUGUAGGCGUUAGAAUAUUGAGAGGAGCCUUCUUUAGUACGAGAGGACCGAGAAGGACAUACCUCUGGUGUACCAGUUAUCGUGCCAACGGUAAACGCUGGGUAGCUAUGUAUGGAGUGGAUAACCGCUGAAAGCAUCUAAGUGGGAAGCCCACCUCAAGAUAAGUAUUCAC